GCAGCCGCGGUAAUACAGAGGUCUCAAGCGUUGUUCGGAUUCAUUGGGCGUAAAGGGUGCGUAGGCGGCGCGGUAAGUCGGGUGUGAAAUCUUGGAGCUUAACUCCGAAACUGCAUUCGAUACUGCCGUGCUUGAGGACUGGAAAGGAGACUGGAAUUUACGGUGUAGCGGUGAAAUGCGUAGAUAUCGUAAGGAAGACCAGUGGCGAAGGCGGGUCUCUGGACAGUUCCUGACGCUGAGGCACGAAGGCCAGGGGAGCAAACGGGAUUAGAUACCCCGGUAGUCCUGGCAGUAAACGGUGCACGUUUGGUGUGGGAGGAUUCGACCCCUUCUGCGCCNGAGCUAACGCGUUAAACGUGCCGCCUGGGGAGUACGGUCGCAAGAUUAAACUCAAAUGAUUGACGG
rnacentral:rRNA from 1 species